AAGAUGCCUGCUAAGGAAAUGAUACAAUAACUUCUUUCUCCCCCAUUUCCACCAUAUUGGCACAUCAAACCUGCGUCUCUUUUUAGUUUGUUCUUCUGCAGGUAAAUACCGUAAAAAAACAUAACUGAUUAGAGAUCUAAACAUUUUUCUAAAUUCAAACUAUCGACUAUUUAAAUCAAUAGAAAAUUUGACAAAAAGAUUGAACUCCUCACUUUUAUUCUUGGAACAGGAUGCUUCCCACUGCGACUUCAAUUUUGCAAUACGAGAUUCCAGAGACGGCCAAAAGUGCAUUUGAAUCUUCAGGACUUCCAGAACAGUUUGCAGGCCAGCUUUAGAAGGGGCUAUGUUGCCCAUCUCACGUGGUGCGCUUUCACCCAGCAAUACCUAUUUUUGGGAAAAACAAAAGCAGGAAGAAACUUCAACGAUUAGUGCAAGAAGAAAAUUGCAGUGGGCAUAAUUAACGUAAUAGCAUAGAAGCAGUCUCUCAAAACAUUAAGCGGGGACAAUCCUUAUAUUUUAUAAAUGAUUUAUGUUGAGAAAG
rnacentral:lncRNA from 1 species